AUUGAACGCUGGCGGCAGGCCUAACACAUGCAAGUCGAGCGGUAGAGAGAAGCUUGCUUCUCUUGAGAGCGGCGGACGGGUGAGUAAUGCCUAGGAAUCUGCCUGGUAGUGGGGGAUAACGCUCGGAAACGGACGCUAAUACCGCAUACGUCCUACGGGAGAAAGCAGGGGACCUUCGGGCCUUGCGCUAUCAGAUGAGCCUAGGUCGGAUUAGCUAGUUGGUGAGGUAAUGGCUCACCAAGGCGACGAUCCGUAACUGGUCUGAGAGGAUGAUCAGUCACACUGGAACUGAGACACGGUCCAGACUCCUACGGGAGGCAGCAGUGGGGAAUAUUGGACAAUGGGCGAAAGCCUGAUCCAGCCAUGCCGCGUGUGUGAAGAAGGUCUUCGGAUUGUAAAGCACUUUAAGUUGGGAGGAAGGGUUGUAACCUAAUACGUUGCAAUCU
rnacentral:rRNA from 1 species